CCUACGGGAGGCAGCAGUAGGGAAUCUUCGGCAAUGGGGGCAACCCUGACCGAGCAACGCCGCGUGAGUGAAGAAGGUUUUCGGAUCGUAAAGCUCUGUUGUAAGUCAAGAACGGGUGUGAGAGUGGAAAGUUCACACCAUGACGGUAGCUUACCAGAAAGGGACGGCUAACUACGUGCCAGCAGCCGCGGUAAUACGUAGGUCCCGAGCGUUGUCCGGAUUUAUUGGGCGUAAAGCGAGCGCAGGCGGUUUGAUAAGUCUGAAGUUAAAGGCUGUGGCUCAACCAUAGUUCGCUUUGGAAACUGUCAAACUUGAGUGCAGAAGGGGAGAGUGGAAUUCCAUGUGUAGCGGUGAAAUGCGUAGAUAUAUGGAGGAACACCGGUGGCGAAAGCGGCUCUCUGGUCUGUAACUGACGCUG
rnacentral:rRNA from 1 species